rnacentral:tRNA from 1 species
GCAGCACCAGCGCGGCUGCGCCGGCCGUGGCGGGGCUGGAGAACGACGUGCCGUCCACGUACUCGUAGUUCGACUCGCUGGCAUUGCU